UACGUAGGGGGCAAGCGUUGUCCGGAUUUAUUGGGCGUAAAGAGCGUGUAGGCGGCUUUACAGGUCCGUUGUGAAAACUCGAGGCUCAACCUCGAGACGCCGGUGGAAACCGUAAAGCUAGAGUCCGGAAGAGGAGAGUGAAAUUCCUGGUGUAGCGGUGAAAUGCGCAGAUAUCAGGAAGAACACCCGUGGCGAAGGCGGCUCUCUGGGACGGUACUGACGCUGAGACGCGAAAGCGUGGGGAGCGAACAGG
rnacentral:rRNA from 1 species